rnacentral:rRNA from 1 species
GACGAACCGAGCGAACGUUGUUCGGAAUCACUGGGCUUAAAGCGCACGUAGGCGGACAUUUAAGUCAGGGGUGAAAUCCCGAGGCUCAACCUCGGAACUGCCCUUGAUACUGGGUGUCUUGAGUAUGGUAGAGGUUGGUGGAACUGCGAGUGUAGAGGUGAAAUUCGUAGAUAUUCGCAAGAACACCAGUGGCGAAGGCGGCCAACUGGACCAUCACUGACGCUGAGGUGCGAAAGCGUGGGGAGCAAACAGG